rnacentral:misc_RNA from 1 species
GAUGAAGAACGCAGCGAAAUGCGAUAAGUAAUGUGAAUUGCAGAAUUCCGUGAAUCAUCGAAUCUUUGAACGCAUAUUGCGCCCUCUGGUAUUCCGGAGGGCAUGCCUGUCCGAGCGUCAUUUCAACCCUCAGGGCCCCUUCGGGGGACCUGGCGUUGGGGAUCGGCCCGCCCCCGUGCGGCGCCGUCCCCGAAAUAUAGUGGCGGUCUCGCUGCAGCCUCCCCUGCGUAGUAGCACACCUCGCACUGGAGAGCGGCGCGGCACGCCGUGAAACCCCCAACUUCUGAAUGUUGACCUCGGAUCAGGUAGGAAUACCCGCUGAACUUAAGCAUAUCAAUAAGCGGAGGA